rnacentral:rRNA from 14 species
UGUCUAAUUAAAACAAAGCAUCGCGAUGGCCCGGGACGGGUGUUGACGCGAUGU